rnacentral:lncRNA from 1 species
UUUUAAGACUCUGAGGAUGGGAUGCCACUGCUGUUGGCCGUGAACCAGCACGGUGAUGCGAUGAAUCUGCAUCAUAGAAACGAUGCCAAGAGCCAGGCAUGAACUAUUUAGUGGCCACUAUAUGCUAACUCACCAGGAGUCGCAGGAGUGAAUCUGAGUUCAGCCUUCACGGAGCACGUACUCUAACUGAAACAGAAGGCAGAUGCCGAGGGUUGAUGAGCACAGCAAACAGAGGUGCUGAGAGACCCAGUUUGUUUGGUGAUGGCCUUAACAGUGUACUUGGAGGAUGAAAUGACCACA